rnacentral:rRNA from 1 species
AUUGAACGCUGGCGGCAGGCCUAACACAUGCAAGUCGAGCGGAUGAGUGGAGCUUGCUCCAUGAUUCAGCGGCGGACGGGUGAGUAAUGCCUAGGAAUCUGCCUGGUAGUGGGGGACAACGUUUCGAAAGGAACGCUAAUACCGCAUACGUCCUACGGGAGAAAGUGGGGGAUCUUCGGACCUCACGCUAUCAGAUGAGCCUAGGUCGGAUUAGCUAGUUGGUGAGGUAAAGGCUCACCAAGGCGACGAUCCGUAACUGGUCUGAGAGGAUGAUCAGUCAAACUGGAACUGAGACACGGUCCAGACUCCUACGGGAGGCAGGAGUGGGGAAUAUUUGACAAUUGGCGAAAGCCUGAUCCAGCCAUGCCGCGUGUGUGAAGAAGGUCUUCGGAUUGUAAAGCACUUUAAGUUGGGAGGAAGGGCAGUAAGUUAAUACCUUGCUGUUUUGACGUUACCAACAGAAUAAGCACCGGCUAACUUCGUG